GCCGCGUUGGCGUAGUGGUAGCGCGUCUCACUUGUACUCUCCGAGUUCAUGAGAAGGUCAUUCGUUCAAUCCGGGUACGCGGCA